rnacentral:rRNA from 1 species
CCUACGGGAGGCAGCAGUGGGGAAUAUUGGACAAUGGGCGAAAGCCUGAUCCAGCAAUGCCGCGUGUGUGAAGAAGGCCCUCGUUGGUUGUAAAGCACUUUCAGUGGGGAAGAAAAGCCGGUGGCCAAUACCUGCCGGCCCUGACGUUACCCACAGAAGAAGCACCGGCUAACUCUGUGCCAGCAGCCGCGGUAAUACAGAGGGUGCGAGCGUUAAUCGGAAUUACUGGGCGUAAAGGGCGCGUAGGCGGUCCGGUAAGUUGGGUGUGAAAGCCUCGGGCUUAACCUGGGAAUUGCAUUCAAUACUGCCGGGCUGGAGUAUGGUAGAGGGAAGUGGAAUUCCGGGUGUAGCGGUGAAAUGCGUAGAUAUCCGGAGGAACACCAGUGGCGAAGGCGGCUUCCUGGACCAAUACUGACGCUGAGGCGCGAAAGCGUGGGGAGCAAACAGGAUUAGAUACCCUGGUAGUCCACGCCCUAAACGAUGAGAACUAGCCGUUGGGGACAUUCAAGUCCUUGGUGGCGCAGCUAACGCGAUAAGUUCUCCGCCUGGGGAGUACGACCGCAAGGUUAAAACUCAAAGGAAUUGACGG